rnacentral:lncRNA from 1 species
GUCCUUAUAAAAUUAUGAACUUUUGGUUUUUGUCCCCAUAAAAAGUAGUGAUCCUCUGUCAUUCCUAAAAAAGUCUCUCACACGUUGUUUUAGUCUUUGAUAAAGCCAAAAUUGUUUAAACAUCCGUAAACUUUUAAAUUUUGAAUGCUUUUUGCAGGCAUGUUUAAAAAAAUUAUAGUUUUUUUAACAUGUUAAUUUUGAGUGGGUAACAAAGGAUAGGAGUUUAUGGAGGUGUCAAAUAUGUUGGGAUCUCCAUGUUUCAUCUUGAUGUUUAACCACACUCUUAGUGUGUACAUAAUAUAUAUCAUUUGAUGAAUCCAAUACUGGCACAUGAAAAGUAUGCAUAAAUCACUCAACUUCUUCUUGCUAAUCUUCAUCACGAGCAACCUGUUUAUCUGAAAUGAAAUAAAGGGAUUGGGGUGAGACAGGAUGUCUCAGUGAGUUCCACCUAUCCUAGGCUGCAGGCAAUCUCGGCAACUUAUAAUCGCCUGUACAUGAACCUAAUUUAGGUUUUACUAUUCUGUUCUGCAUAUUUUAGCGAUCGGGGGAAAUCUAGGAUCUCUAACUGUAUACUAUUGAUGACUGUGCAUCAACACUAGUUUUUAGCUAUGUUUAUGUCGUUUUUAUCACAUUUAGAGAGACAACUGCUUGUAAAUCAUGGUGACAUCAAACCAAAAUAGGAACAAGAGCUCAAAGAGAAGAAACUGAGAAAAAGAUGAAAAAUUCCUAAAAGUAAAGAAUCGUGCCACGUUUGUAGUAUAUCGUGGCACAAUAUGAGAACAUGGGACAAAGGAUUCAACACUGGAAAUUUCGUAGCACAAAGCAAUAUGCAACGUGCCACGAUGCUAGGUUUUGUCUGCUGCCACAUAGGAUUAAUGAAGCCAUCUUGCCACGAUUGGAUCGUAACGUGGCACAAUGGUGGGCUUUCUAAAACCCUAAAAUUCUUUCUAUAUAAAGCCAGCUGCGGCCAAAGAUUAGGGUACCGAUUUUGAUUGCGAUUUUGAGCAUAGAAGACACCUGGAGACCGAAGAACUAGCCCUGAAUCUCAUACAAACUCAUAGUUGGUCCGGAUUUAUGUAUGUUCACUCUUAUUUAUGCUUAUAAUUGUUAGCUAUGAGUAGCUAAACUCUUAGUUUGAUUGAGCCAUGAUGAACCUAUUGUAAUAUAUAAAUCAGUAGUUGAUACUCUCUUUAUUAUUAAUGUUAUUCAGUC